rnacentral:rRNA from 1 species
GAUGAACGCUGGCGGCGUGCCUAAUACAUGCAAGUCGAGCGAACAGACGAGGAGCUUGCUCCUCUGACGUUAGCGGCGGACGGGUGAGUAACACGUGGAUAACCUACCUAUAAGACUGGGAUAACUUCGGGAAACCGGAGCUAAUACCGGAUAAUAUAUUGAACCGCAUGGUUCAAUAGUGAAAGACGGUUUUGCUGUCACUUAUAGAUGGAUCCGCGCCGCAUUAGCUAGUUGGUAAGGUAACGGCUUACCAAGGCAACGAUGCGUAGCCGACCUGAGAGGGUGAUCGGCCAAACUGGAACUGGGACACGGUCCAGACUCCUAAGGGAGGCAGCAGUAGGGAAUCUUCCGCAAUGGGCGAAAGCCUGACGGAGCAACGCCGCGUGAGUGAUGAAGGUCUUCGGAUCGUAAAACUCUGUUAUUAGGGAAGAACAAAUGUGUAAGUAACUAUGCACGUCUUGACGGUACCUAAUCAGAAAGCCACGGCUAACUACGUG